GCACAACGCGAAGAACCUUACCUAGGCUUGACAUGCAUCUCUAAGCACGUGAAAGCGUGUGACCCUUCGGGGAAUUUGCACAGGUGCUGCAUGGCCGUCGUCAGCUCGUGUCGUGAGAUGUUGGGUUAAGUCCCGCAACGAGCGCAACCCUUGUGACUAGUUGCCAGCACGUUAUGGUGGGAACUCUAGUCAGACUGCCCAGAUCAACUGGGGAGGAAGGUGGGGACGACGUCAGGUCAGUAUGGCCCUUACGCCUAGGGCUGCACACGUACUACAAUGCCCAGCACAAUGAGAACCGAGACCGCGAGGUGGAGGAAAUCUAAAAAACUGGGCCCAGUUCGGAUUGGAGGCUGCAACUCGCCUCCAUGAAGUUGGAAUCGCUAGUAAUGGCGCAUCAUCUACGGCGCCGUGAAUACGUUCCCGGGUCUUGUACACACCG
rnacentral:rRNA from 1 species